rnacentral:lncRNA from 1 species
AUUAUAGACGGGGCAGGGAAGGUGAGGAGUAGGAGAAUAUUAUAGACGGGGCAGGGAAGGUGAGGAGUAGGAGAAUAUUAUAGACGGGGCAGGGAAGGUGAGGAGUAGGAGAAUAAUAUAGACGGGGCAGGGAAGGUGAGGAGUAGGAGAAUAUUAUAGAUGGGGCAGGGAAGGUGAGGAGUAGGAGAAUAUUAUAGACGGGGCAGGGAAGGUGAGGAGUAGGAGAAUAUUAUAGACGGAGCAGGGAAGGUGAGGAGUAGGAGAAUGUGUGUGAUGGGGCAGGGAAGGUGAGGGAGUAGGAGAAUAUUAUAGGCCAGGGGCAGGGGAAGGUGAGGAGUAGGGAGAAUAUUAGGCAGACAGGGGAAGGUGAGGAGUAGAAGGAGGAAUAUUAUAGGCGGGGCAGGGAAGGUGAGGAGUAGGGGAGUAUUAUAGGCGAGGGCGGGAAGGUGAGGAGUAAGAGAGUAUUAUAGACGGGGCAGGGAAGGUGGAGCAGAGAGGAUGAGAGAAGGCAAGCAGUGGAGUGGGGGGAUAGCAGUACAAUACAAUAAAUACAAAGCAUUAUCAGUAACAUCCUAUAUUAAAACAUACAUUGGGUCUGUUGCAACCCAGUUUUGUAAUGAUCACUCUUGCUCUGACUGUCAGAAUUGCUCAGUUUUUGCAUUUCUUGUUAAUCUUUUCAAAUCGAGCUGAAUAUCUCAAAAUCACAAAUUUAAUGAAAAGAAAAUGAAAUGGGAGAAGAGAUUUUCACUAUCACAGGUCAAAGGUUAUGGACAGCCGAGGACAUUGACAAUGCUAGUAUGUAACAGGGUGUGUCAUUGUGAUCUGUAUAGAUACAGCAGUGUGUGUGUUCCUUCAAAUAGUUCCAUACAGACAUUGCAAUGUGUGUCCCUUUAAAGUGUGUCAUACAGGCAUUGCAAUAUGUGUCUGUAACGGAGCUCCCUGUACCCUGGCAGGGAACCUCCGCCAAGGAACGCUUCCUAGCUGGAACAGGGGAAAACCUCAGCGCUUCUGCCCCAGUUGCCGUGGCUUGACUGGGGUCCUCCUAGAGCCACUCCGUCCUCGAGCAGGAUAGGGGACCAGCUCCAAUCAUUCCCAGGGACUUGACGACACACAGCCCUGGGAGCUCUAGUACUUACAACGACUUUCCCAGUCGACUCCUCCACGAGCUGGAACAAGGUGCUGAGCAGUGAUUAGCCCUUUCCGUCCAAGUACUUUAAAGUGUUCCAUACAGACAUUGCAGUGUGUGUGUGCCUUUAAAGUGUGUCAUACAGACAUAGCAGUGUGUGUGUGUGUCGCUUUAACGUGUUCCUUACAGACAUUGCAGUGUGUGUCCCCCUUUAACGUGUUCCUUACAGACAUUGCAGUGUGUGUCCCCCUUUAACGUGUUCCUUACAGAUAUUGCAGUAUGUGUGUCCCCCUUUAAUGUGUUCCUUACAGACAUUGCAGUAUGUGUGUCCCCCUUUAAUGUGUUCCUUACAGACAUUGCAGUGUGUGUCCCUUUAACGUGUGUUAUGCAGACAUUGCAGUGUGUCCCCCCCUUUAACGUGUUCCUUACAGACAUUGCAGUGUGUGUGUCCCUUUAACAUGUUCUUUACAGACAUUGUAGUGUGUGUGUCCCUUUAACGUGUUCCAUACAGACAUUGCAGUGUGUGUGUCCCUUUAAUGUGUUCCUUACAGAUAUUGCAGUAUGUGUGUCCCUUUAACGUGUUCCUUACAGACAUUGCAGUGUGUGUGUCCCUUUAACGUGUUCCUUACAGACAUUGCAGUGUGUGUCCCUUUAACGUGUUCCUUACAGACAUUGCAGUGUGUGUCCCUUUAAAGUGUGUCAUGCAGACAUUGCAGUGUGUCCCCCCCUUUAACGUGUUCCUUACAGACAUUGCAGUGUGUGUCCCCCUUUAACGUGUUCCUUACAGACAUUGCAGUAUGUGUGUCCCCCUUUAAUGUGUUCCUUACAGACACUGCAGUGUGUGUCCCUUUAACGUGUGUUAUGCAGACAUUGCAGUGUGUCCCCCCCUUUAACGUGUUCCUUACAGACAUUGCAGUGUGUGUGUCCCUUUAACGUGUUCCUUACAGACAUUGCAGUGUGUGUCCCUUUAACGUGUUCCUUACAGACAUUGCAGUGUGUGUCCCUUUAAAGUGUGUCAUGCAGACAUUGCAGUGUGUCCCCCCCUUUAACGUGUUCCUUACAGACAUUGCAGUGUGUGUCCCCCUUUAACGUGUUCCUUACAGACAUUGCAGUAUGUGUGUCCCCCUUUAAUGUGUUCCUUACAGACAUUGCAGUGUGUGUGUCCCUUUAACGUGUUCCUUACAGACAUUGCAGUGUGUGUCCCUUUAAAGUGUGUUAUGCAGACAUUGCAGUGUGUGUCCCCCUUUAACGUGUUCCUUACAGACAUUGCAGUGUGUGUCCCCUUUUAACGUGUUCCAUACAGACAUUGCAGUGUGUGUCCCUUUAACGUGUUCCUUACAGACAUUGCAGUGUGUGUGUCCCUUACAGACAUUGCAGUGUGUGUCCCUUUAACGUGUUCCUUACAGACAUUGCAGUGUGUGUCCCUUUAAUGUGUUCCAUACAGACAUUGCAGUAUGUGUCCCUUUAACGUGUUCCUUACAGACAUUGCAGUGUGUGUGUCCCUUACAGACAUUGCAGUGUGUGUCCCUUUAAAGUUUUCCUUACAGACAUUGCAGUGUGUGUCCCCCUUUGUCGUGUUCCUUACAGACAUUGCAGUGUGUGUCCCCCUUUGACGUGUUCCUUACAGACAUUGCAGUGUGUGUGUCCCUUUAACGUGUUCCUUACAGAUAUUGCAGUGUGUGUGUCCCCCUUUAACGUGUUCCUUACAGAUAUUGCAGUGUGUGUCUCCCUUUGUCGUGUUCCUUACAGACAUUGCAGUGUGUGUCCCUUUAAAGUUUUCCUUACAGACAUUGCAGUGUGUGUCCCCCUUUGACGUGUUCCUUACAGAUAUUGCAGUGUGUGUGCCCCUUUAACGUGUUCCUUACAGACAUUGCAGUGUGUGUCCCCCUUUGUCGUGUUCCUUACAGACAUUGCAGUGUGUGUCCCCCUUUGACAGACAUUGCAGUGUGUGUCCCCCUUUGUCGUGUUCCUUACAGACAUUGCAGUGUGUGUCCCCCUUUGACGUGUUCCUUACAGACAUUGCAGUGUGUGUGUCCCUUUAACGUGUUUCUUACAGACAUUGCAGUGUGUGUGUGUCCCUUUCACGUGUUCCUUACAGACAUUGCAGUGUGUGUCUCCCUUUGUCGUGUUCCUUACAGACAUUGCAGUGUGUGUCCCUUUAAAGUUUUCCUUACAGACAUUGCAGUGUGUGUCCCCCUUUGACGUGUUCCUUACAGAUAUUGCAGUGUGUGUGCCCCUUUAACGUGUUCCUUACAGACAUUGCAGUGUGUGUCCCCCUUUGUCGUGUUCCUUACAGACAUUGCAGUGUGUGUCCCCCUUUGACGUGUUCCUUACAGACAUUGCAGUGUGUGUGUCCCUUUAACGUGUUUCUUACAGACAUUGCAGUGUGUGUGUGUCCCUUUCACGUGUUCCUUACAGACAUUGCAGUGUGUGUGUGUGUCCCUUUAACGUGUUCCUUACAGACAUUGCAGUGUGUGUCCCCCUUUGUCGUGUUCCUUACAGACAUUGCAGUGUGUGUCCCCCUUUGACGUGUUCCUUACAGACAUUGCAGUGUGUGUCCCCCUUUGUCGUGUUCCUUACAGACAUUGCAGUGUGUGUCCCCCUUUAACGUGUUUCUUACAGACAUUGCAGUGUGUGUGUGUCCCUUUAACGUGUUCCUUACAGACAUUGCAGUGUGUGUCCCCCUUUAACGUGUUCCUUACAGACAUUGCAGUGUGUGUCCCCCUUUAACGUGUUCCUUACAGACAUUGCAGUGUGUGUACCCCUUUAACGUGUUCCUUACAGACAUUGCAGUGUCCCCCCCCCUUUGUCGUGUUUGUAGCGGAGAUGCAAUAUUCCCCAGGUUAUCUCUGCUUAUAAUCCAAGUGAGGCUCAGGAACAAGUAAAUAAUAAAUCCACAGGCAAGGUUUCCAGCAGGUAAAAUAACAGCAAUAUCCCAACAGCAAUCCCAAUAACUGGACGACACACAGUUUCAGGAGCAGAACUGAAAUCUUUAAUCCACAGUCUCCUUAUAAAGCAUGCUCCCAUGCAAGGGAGGGAUUUACAGUAAUUAGUACAGUAGCCAAUCCUGUCCUGGUAACCUCCCACACAUCUCCUCCCCUCAGCCAGCAUCAUAAU